rnacentral:misc_RNA from 1 species
GAUGAAGAACGUAGCGAAAUGCGAUUCGUAAUGUGAAUUGCAGAAUUCAGUGAAUCAUCGAGUCUUUGAACGCACAUUGCGCCCCCUGGUAUUCCGGGGGGCAUGCCUGUCCGAGCGUCAUUGCUGCCCUCAAGCACGGCUUGUGUGUUGGGCCUCCGUCCUCCUCCCGGGGGACGGGCCCGAAAGGCAGCGGCGGCACCGCGUCCGGUCCUCGAGCGUAUGGGGCUUCGUCACCCGCUCUUGUAGGCCCGGCCGGCGCUUGCCGACACAUCAAUCUUUUUUCCAGGUUGACCUCGGAUCAGGUAGGGAUACCCGCUGAACUUAAGCAUAUCAAUAAGCGGAGGA